rnacentral:rRNA from 1 species
AACGAACGCUGGCGGCGUGCCUAACACAUGCAAGUCGAGCGCGAAAGUUCCUUCGGGGAUGAGUAGAGCGGCGGACGGGUGAGUAAUACGUGGGUAAUCUGCCCCCGAGCUCGGGAUAACACUGCGAAAGCGGUGCUAAUACCGGAUAAGACCACAUGACCCAGGUCGUGCGGUAAAAGGUGGCUUUGUUUUCGGAUAAGGCUAUCACUUGAGGAUGAGCCCAUGGCCUAUCAGCUUGUUGGUGAGGUAAAAGCUCACCAAGGCUAUGACGGGUAGCUGGUCUAAGAGGACGACCAGCCACACUGGGACUGAGACACGGCCCAGACUCCUACGGGAGGCAG